UUGGAUUAGGCCAAAGAGGAGGGCCAGAUUCGUUGGGCCUGUCUAAAUUAUAAAGGUAAAAUACAAUUUUACCCUUUUGUUUUAAAAUCAGAUUUCAGCACCUUUCUCUCUCUCUCCUCUUCCUUAUUCACUCCAGCGAUGACGACUCCCUCUUCUCUCCAUUGACGAUACGACGCCCUCUCUUUCUCCUCGUCCUUCUUCGCUCAAUCAACGACGACGACACUCACUCUCUCUCCUCUUCCUUAUUAGUCUCCAUCAACAACAACACCGUCUCUCUCAUCUUCCUUCUUUUCACGCAAAGCUCUGUUUUUCAUCUGGUGAGAUAUUGGGAAAGGAUUGGGCAGCAAUGGUUCUGCAGCUGGAGUUGUGCUUCCGCCAAUUACAAAGAGGCCAGCCGGAAGACCACCAACAAAGAGGAUCAAAGUUUUUGGUGAAUUUAAAAGGCCAUUGAAAUGCAGUCGGUGCAGUGUUGCUGGGCACAAUAGGAAGACUUGCAAGGCUAUUAUAUGAACACUCCUUCUCAUUUGACAAUUUUUUAUUUUAGAUAUGGUUUAGCGAAUGUAUAGUCAGUUUCUGUGUUGCACUUUUUGCAAAAACUGUAUUGCAGUUUUAGUUGCUUGUAAUUGGCUACACAGCUUCUAAUUGGAUAUUGUGAUUCUUUUUUGAAGUUAAUGAAAAUUAUACAAUUGUUUAAUGAGUG